AAUGAACGUUGGCGGCGUGGAUUAGGCAUGCAAGUCGUGCGGAAAGGCUCCUUCGGGAGUACUCGAGCGGCGCAAGGGAGAGUAACGCGUGGGUAACCUACCCCCAGAUCUGGGAUAGCUGCGGGAAACUGCAGGUAAUACCGGAUAAUGUCCCCGGACCAAAGGUGAGAUUCCGUCUGGGAGGGGCCCGCGUCCUAUUAGCUUGUUGGUGGGGUAACGGCCUACCAAGGCAUCGAUGGGUACCGGGCGUGAGAGCGUGGCCCGGCUCACUGGGACUGAGACACUGCCCAGACACCUACGGGUGGCUGCAGUCGAGAAUCUUCGGCAAUGGGCGCAAGCCUGACCGAGCGACGCCGCGUGCGGGAUGAAGGCCCUCGGGUUGUAAACCGCUGUCAGUUGGGAGGAAAUCCCAUGGGGCACUCUCCAUGGGUUGACCUAUCUUCAGAGGAAGUACGGGCUAACUCCGUG
rnacentral:rRNA from 1 species